rnacentral:rRNA from 1 species
AUUGAACGCUGGCGGCAGGCCUAACACAUGCAAGUCGAACGAGUGGCGGACGGGUGAGUAGUGUCUGGGAAACUGCCUGAUGGAGGGGUAUAACCACUGGAAACGGUAUCUAAUACCGCAUACUAUCGGGUGUGCCCAGAUGGGAUGAGCUAGUAGGUGGGGUAAAGGCUCACCUAGGCGACGAUCCCUAGCUGGUCUGAGAGGAUUCCCAGCCACACUGGAACUGAGACACGGUCCAGACUCCUACGGGAGGCAGCAGGGGGGAAUAUUGCACAAUGGGCGCAAGCCGGAUGCAGCCAUGCCGCGUGUAUGAAGAAGGCCUGCGGGUUGUAAAGUACUUUCAGCGGGGAGGCGUUACCCGCAGAAGAAGCACCGGCUAACUCCGUGCCAGCAGCCGCGGUAAUUC